rnacentral:rRNA from 1 species
UACCUCAGUAACGGCGAGUGAAGCGGUAAUAGCUCAAAUUUGAAAUCUGGCCUCUUGGGGUCCGAGUUGUAAUUUGUAGAGGAUGUUUUGGGUACCGCCCCGGUCUAAAUUUCUUGGAACAGAAUGUCAAAGAGGGUGAGAAUCCCGUCUUGGACCGGCGGUAGGGCCUGUGUAAAACUCCUUCGACGAGUCGAGUUGUUUGGGAAUGCAGCUCAAAAUGGGUGGUAAAUUUCAUCUAAAGCUAAAUAUUGGCCAGAGACCGAUAGCGCACAAGUAGAGUGAUCGAAAGAUGAAAAGCACUUUGAAAAGAGAGUUAAACAGUAUGUGAAAUUGUUGAAAGGGAAGCGCUUGCAACCAGACUUGAGCGCGGCGGUUCCCCCGGUCUUUUGGCCGGGCUACUCCGUCGUGUCCAGGCCAACAUCGGUUCUGAGGGUCGGUCAAAGGCCUUGGGAAUGUAUCUACCCACGGGUAGACUUAUAGACCAGGGUGUCAUGCGGCCUCUCGGGACCGAGGAACGCGCUUCGGCUCGGAUGUUGGCGUAAUGGUUGUCAGCGACCCGUCUUGAAACACGGACCAAGGAGUCUAACAUCUAUGCGAGUGUUUGGGUGUCAAACCCGGAACGCGAAAUGACAGUGAACGGAGGUAGGAAGCUUCGGCUGCACUAUCGACCGAUCCUGAAGUUUACGGAUGGAUUUGAGUAAGAGCAU